GAUGAACGCUGGCGGCGUGCCUAAUACAUGCAAGUCGAGCGAACAGACGAGGAGCUUGCUCCUCUGACGUUAGCGGCGGACGGGUGAGUAACACGUGGAUAACCUACCUAUAAGACUGGGAUAACUUCGGGAAACCGGAGCCAAUACCGGAUAAUAUAUUGAACCGCAUGGUUCAAUAGUGAACGACGGUUUUGCUGUCACUUAUAGAUGGAUCCGCGUCGCAUUAGCUAGUUGGUAAGGUAACGGCUUACCAAGGCAACGAUGCGUAGCCGACCUGAGAGGAUGAUCAGCCACACUGGAACUGAGACACGGUCCAGACUCCUACGGGAGGCAGCAGUAGGGAAUCUUCCGCAAUGGGCGAAAGCCUGACGGAGCAACGCCGCGUGAGUGAUGAAGGUCUUCGGAUCGUAAAACUCUGUUAUUAGGGAAGAACAAAUGUGUAAGUAACUAUGCACGUCUUGACGGUACCUAAUCAGAAAGCCACGGCUAACUACGUG
rnacentral:rRNA from 1 species